rnacentral:rRNA from 1 species
AUGCAAAGACAAGUCUGUCGUCUCGGCGCAACAGUCCAGCUCGUACGGCUUUCGCUUGCUGAGGUAAGAAAAAUAUUCAUCUACCCCAGAAGGGUGCAGCAAAGUGAAGAUCGAGCCGAUUUAUUCAAAGGAAUGAUCACAGCACAACAAUGGAGUACACAAGAACGGCGACAGCACCCACGCAACGCAACAUGCGGCCGUGUACAUAUUGGUCACAGCUUAAUUACACUCAUCACACAAAGGUACAUCCGAUCCAUUUGCUCUCUCCGAGCUAAUACAAUGUAUGGCAGCACAUCUCAAUCACCACGCCCCGUGACGCUUCUGCCCAGGUGCGCAACGCAGGUACAGCUCCUCUGUUCUUCAGUCUCGAAACGUUGUUUCUGCCGAGAGCAGAGGGCCUUUCUCAAGGGAGGAGGGAAAAUAGGUUCGAUUCUUGCGGAGAUGCUACUCUAA